UUCCUUACCGCUGAACUACAAGGGGAACUCCUACAAUAUAUAUAUAUAUUUUUUCACUUAAUCCUUAUAACAACCCUAUAAUAUAGGGACCAUUAUUCCCACUUGGCAGAUGAGACAAUUGAGUCAUGGAGAGACUGAAUAACUUUCCCUAACUGGUCAGGAUUUAAACCCACUGUUCUCUGACCCUGGGCUCUUAACCCCUUCCCUCAGGAGGCCUCCUGACCCAGGGAAGAUUGCCCCUUUCUGCAGCUCAGGUGCCAGCCCUCCCCGCUGAGGCUCAGACACAGCCCAGGGCCAGGCUCUCAUCCCCUCCUCCCAGAGCCCCGGUGGUGAGUGUGUCCAGCUGGCCCAGCUCUGGUCACGCAGGGUUAAUGAAUGUUGGACUCUGGCUUCAAGCCAGGUCCAGGCCAGCCUUGCAGAACCCAGCUCGGGGCCCCUGCUGGCCCCUGUGCUCUUCUGCACCAGAUCGAGGGGCAGAGGUAUGUUUGGCUCCUGGUUAAACCUGCUUGUGCACGUGCACAUUUCCACCUGGGCUCAGGGCUUGUGCCUGCAAUGUCUGUGUGAUCAGCGUGCAGCCCGGGUCUUCUUCCUGCCGAGACUCCCAGGCCCCCCCUUUUGGGCCCCCCUUCCUGUGCUGGGCUGGGGUGAGGGGGAGGCCUUCUUGGCGGGAGUCUUAGAGAGGAGGAGGGAAGGAAGGGGGAGAGGAAAUUGCAGACAUAGCUGAAGGCACAGCCUGAGGCCUGUGGGCCAGUGACCCCCCUCUCCGUCCAGGCUGGAGACCCCCACUCCCAGUCCUGAGAGUGGGUUCAAGCAGAGGGCAGAUCUGGUUGGGGAAACAACAAGGACUGGCUCCCAUGGAGGGGAGGGGAAGGGGACUCUUGGUGUCUCUGUGACUGUUUAGUCUGCUUUGUGGGUGUGUGUGGAGGUAUUUCUGCCAAUAUUCAUGUAUGUGUGUGUCUCUUUCCGUGUUGUAUCUGCUUGAACAUUUUGUGGCUAAGUCUGUGUUAUGAAUCCAUUCAGACUAGUCAACAAAUGCUAACUGGUGGUCUGCUUAGCACUGAUCUGCUUACACUUCCUAGGAAUGGGGGUGGGGGAAAGUCAGCAGUAAAUAGAACAGACACAAAUCUUUGCCCUGGUGGAGCUGACACGAGGGCAGAGGGACAAUACAUGAAGAAGAUGCUCUUGGGAGCUGUCAAGUGCUCAGAGGGCCCUGGACCAGGGGAAUGUGAUGAAGAGCACCUGGGGUGGCUCCUGCAAGUGACAUAGGGCAGAGGCUUGAAUCCUGAAAAGGGGGCAGCUGUGCCAGGAACGAGGCGAACAUGUCAGGGAGGAAUGAGGCCGGCCGAGCACCCUGAGUGGCUAUGUAUUAUUCGUGAAGUGAUUCAUUGCUGGGAAGGUGACAACUGUGGAGAGCAAACCAACACUGGAAUAUUGUGCCAGCGUCUGAAACAGUGAAGAACUCUUGGUGUUGCUGAAUGGUGCCCUGGUGAUAAUGGUGCACAGAGCAGAGGCUGAAAACGGACAUGAGGCCUGGGGCGCCGUGGCUCUUGGAGCCAGAGUGUGGCCGUGGUGAGCUGGGAGCGAGGGCUGUUUCUGGCGCUGCAUCUGGGCGAGCUCGACAGAUAAGGUAAUGGGAGCCAUUUGGACAGACUCGGGAAUGGCCGGGAAGAUGGGGGCCACUUGGCUGCUGGGGUAGCUGUGGGGGCAGGGAGAGAGGGGGGCCCUGGAGCCGCUCUAAAGACUUAGCGGAGGACUAGGCCUUCCCACAUCUUGGAGAAGUACCACCCCUCUUGCUGUGUGGACACGAGCCUGGGAAGGGACACCUCCAGUGUGGAUCUCUGCUCCUUCUGUGACCUGGGCCUGCGUGAGUCUGCCUGUGGUGUGCUGCUGGGGGGUGGGGGGGCAGCUCUCCUGUAGCGUCAGUGCUGUGAUGCUCAAUCUGCAAAGUCUAAAUUUAGGCGAAGGAAGGAAGGAAAGAGGAAAGGAAGGAAGGAACCCCCCUGGUUUCCUGUGGAGGGGAAGGAAGGGGAGGGAGGUGCAGGAAAAGGCCUGGCCCUUCUUAUGCCAGCCCCUGGCUGGGCACGUGGGCACAAAGGCAGCCUCUCUGGCUAGGGUGCCCCCCAACCCAGGUGGGGGUGUGGCAGGGAGAGAGGACCAAUACGCUGCCAGUGGCAGUGGCUCCAAGAUGCCUCCUUCCUGCCAAGGAAGAGAGUCAAGCAGGGAGUCCCCCUUGGGCACGUAGGGGGAGGGAGGCUGGACCAGGGGCUGGGAGAAUGCCCAGGUCUGGCCCCUUCCCUAGUCAAGCCAGCACGGGCUGUGGGGGGCAGGGGGCGCCCAGGGCACCUGGUGGCAGAGCCUGGCGCUGCCAGGCUGGAGGGGGAGAUGGAGACGCAGGCGAGGAGGGUAAGAGAUGAUACAGGCCACAGUGGCUCCAGAUCAGGAAGUUUUAUUGCUGACAUGCAGGAAGAGUCCCCAUGUAGUACAAAAAUAUGACUUUAUACAAACUUUUUUGUGACUUUUUCCAUUUUGUUUCUUUACAAUAGGACUUCUCUCAGCGUGUGACACCCAGUGAGGGCAGACCCAACCUCCUCUCAUUCGCUCUGCAAGCAAUUCAUCAGACACAUGGGUUGGCCUUGGAAGGGGCCAGUCUGUCCGAGAGGCUUUGCAGACCCAGAGGAUAUUGCUUGACGAGGAGGCGGAGGACCGCGCGAGGUGGCCCGGCUGCCGGCCGAGGGGCUGAGGUGAGGCCCUCACGGGAGGACAGUCCCAGCACUGGGAGCCCUGGGCCGGACUGCAUUUCCACUCCCGUAGGAGACUUCUUUUCGCAAUAAAUAUAGAAAAGUGGGCAUCCCGGCCCCCAGCACAAGACCCUGGCUCUCAGCAGCUGGACGGCUGAGGGAGGCAGAGCCCGGUGCUCAGGGGAGGAAGUGCCGGGCUCAGGUGGGCCCCCACGGACCCACUGAGGCAGAGGCACGGGGCGCCCAGGGGCUGGGACGGGGCACGGGGAGGAAGGGGCAUGGGCGGCCCUGCUACUGCUGGCAAGAGGUGGCCCCAUUUUUUCCAGAUGGGGAAACUGAGGCACAAGGAGGUUUGGGAACUUGCCCAAGUCACUCACAGUGAGUCAGCUCUGGGGGAGGGGCAGCUCAUUCUCUGGGAAACAAGGUCACGCAGGCCUUGGUCACCUCCCCACUGGGGAACAAGAGCAGGCAGGCAGGGCCCGAGGGCCAGGGGCUGCCUGGAGGGGAACUCUCGGCCGCUCUGAGGGCCAGGCCAGGAAGGGUCUCUGCUUGGCGCUGGGCAGGGCCGAGUCCAGGGAGGGGAGGGCACUCUGGUGAGAACAGCAUUUCUGGCAAGACGGGCAUCCACUUCAAAAUCGCGGCUCAAAAAAGGGCAGCAGGGCUGUUCUCAAGCCAGGCCGGACCCCCCAGUCCCUAUAAUUCUCUCUGUAGGCCCCAAAGCCCCCAGGAAGGACCCUGGUGGCCUGCUGGGAGGGACACCACACCUCUCAGAAGGCAGGGGCAGGAGGGGAGAAGGGUCCCCAUUCUCUGAACGCAGAGGGCUGACGGGAGCGAGAAGGCGGGCAAGCAUGCGGGCCCAGGGCACCCUCCUCAGCCGCCCG